GACGAACGCUGGCGGCGUGCUUAACACAUGCAAGUCGAACGGAAAGGCCCUGCUUUUGUGGGGUGCUCGAGUGGCGAACGGGUGAGUAACACGUGAGUAACCUGCCCUUGACUUUGGGAUAACUUCAGGAAACUGGGGCUAAUACCGGAUAGGAGCUCCUGCUGCAUGGUGGGGGUUGGAAAGUUUCGGCGGUUGGGGAUGGACUCGCGGCUUAUCAGCUUGUUGGUGGGGUAGUGGCUUACCAAGGCUUUGACGGGUAGCCGGCCUGAGAGGGUGACCGGCCACUUGGGGCGGGGAGCACGCCCCGGCCCCCUCGGGGGGCGGGAGGGGGGAAUUGUUGCCAUGGGGGGGGAGGCUGGAUGCAGCACCCCCGCGGGCGGGAGGGCGGCUUUCGGUUUAUAACCCGUUUUCGCCUGGGACGAGGGGUGAGGGGGGGUAAUGGGUAAGGAACCCCCGCCUAACUACGUC
rnacentral:rRNA from 1 species